GGUACAUGAUCCUCAUUUAAAGAAACUACCUAAUUAUUCAAUCUGAGGAGUGCUUUGGAAUAGUUCCAAUUUCUCAGAGUCACCUGAGAAGAGAAUCUCAAUGAAGAACUAGAUCAGGCUGACAUCCAACAUUCAACCACAUCAUAAGAUAGACAACCUAGGUGUCUACCACACUCUUCAUUCAGCAAAGUCCAGGA